rnacentral:tRNA from 1 species
UAGGUAUUUAAUUCAGAGGUCUAGAAUGUCUUGUUUACACCGAGAAUGACAAUGGUUCAAAUCCAUUAAUACCUAA